CAAGGGCAGCCAGUAUUAACGUCUGGAUCUGUGCACAGCUGAAUCAUCAGACUAGGAAACAUCUGCCGUGCAACCCAAUUUGAGAGAAGCCCAUCCCGUGCACUUCCCUCUGUACAGGGUGACCCGUCACCUAUCACACCACCCUCAGGAAAGAGGAAGAGUGGGGAGGUGAAGAGGAAACAUUAAUAGCUCUGUAAGUGCUGCAAAAGCAAGUCCACUUUGAUGCGCUUCCAAAGGAUGAGGACUUGAACUGAUACAGUAAAACAGAGUACCAAGCGCUGAGGAAGCCUCCGGAGCUGAAGUUCAGAUAUAGUAAUGGACGUUUCAUUUCAGACACGCGCUGUAAGCAGCAGACCAAUCACAACAGACUGGAUCAUCUGACCAAUCAGAGGAGUGUAGGCUCUCAGAAAGGAGGGGUUUAGAGAAACAAAAUCCUUUACUAUUUCAAACACUGAAAAAAGAGAUGAUGCUGCAAUUUAUAUCACAACCCUCUACAAUGAGAGUCACAUAUGUGACCAAAUUUCAUGAGACGUAACUAAAAAAAUGUCUUUUAUUAGCCUUUGGCUGAAAGUUUAUCAUUUGCAUGCAUUUUUAAGCCUUGCCAAUUAAAACAUUCAAGCUAUGCUAUUUUACAUUUGAUUACCCAGGUGAAAAGUA